rnacentral:rRNA from 1 species
AGAAUCAACGCUGGCGGCGUGCCUAACACAUGCAAGUCGCACGAGAAAGGGACUUCGGUCCUGAGUACAGUGGCGCACGGGUGAGUAACACGUGAAUAAUCUACCUCCGAGUGGGGAAUAACUGAGAGAAAUCUUAGCUAAUACCGCAUAACACUUACGAGUCAAAGCAGCAAUGCGCUUGGAGAGGAGUUCGCGGCAGAUUAGUUAGUUGGCGGGGUAAUGGCCCACCAAGACGAUGAUCUGUAU